UACAGGGGGGGCAAGCGUUGUUCGGAAUUACUGGGCGUAAAGGGUUUGUAGGUGGUUUGCUUAGUCAGACGUGAAAUCCCUCAGCUUAACUGGGGAACUGCGUCUGAUACUGGCGAGCUUGAGUGCAGGAGAGGAACGCGGAAUUCCAGGUGUAGCGGUGAAAUGCGUAGAUAUCUGGAGGAACACCGGUGGCGAAGGCGGCGUGCUGGACCUUUUCUGACGCUGAGGCGCGAAAGCUAGGGGAGCAAACGGG
rnacentral:rRNA from 1 species